rnacentral:pre_miRNA from 5 species
CGGUUAUCAUGGUACCGGUGCUGUAUACGUGAAAGGUACAGUACUGUGAUAACUGAA